GACGAACGCUGGCGGCGUGCCUAAUACAUGCAAGUCGAGCGAAGUUUUUCUGGUGCUUGCACUAGAAGAACUUAGCGGCGAACGGGUGAGUAACACGUAAAGAACCUGCCUCAUAGACUGGGACAACUAUUGGAAACGAUAGCUAAUACCGGAUAACAGUAUUUCUCGCAUGAGAGAUAUUUAAAAGUUGGUUAUGCUAACACUAUGAGAUGGCUUUGCGGUGCAUUAGCUAGUUGGUGGGGUAAAGGCCCACCAAGGCGACGAUGCAUAGCCGACCUGAGAGGGUGAUCGGCCACACUGGGACUGAGACACGGCCCAGACUCCUACGGGAGGCAGCAGUAGGGAAUCUUCCGCAAUGGGCGAAAGCCUGACGGAGCAACGCCGCGUGAGUGAAGAAGGAUUUCGGUUCGUAAAGCUCUGUUGUUAGGGAAGAAUGGAUAUGUAGUAACUAUACAUGUAAGAGACGGUACCUAACCAGAAAGCCACGGCUAACUACGCG
rnacentral:rRNA from 1 species